CAACGUCGAUUAUUUUCCCCAAUAAACAAAUUAAUCCAUUUCUUUCUAUCUAUUCCAUUUCUUGCAAACCAUUUAAUUCAAAAACUUUCUCAAUCGUUCAUCAAAUGCUUGAUUUAACGUCAAGCCAUUUUCAAAAAUACUUAACCAUUAUUCAACACUUUUUAAUAAAGAUGGAAACGGAACGGGGUGGAUACAACGAGCUCCUA
rnacentral:lncRNA from 1 species